GCAUCCAACGCGUUGGGAGCUCUCCCAUAUGGUCGACCUGCAGGCGGCCGCGAAUUCACUAGUGAUUAGAGUUUGAUCAUGGCUCAGAACGAACGCUUUCGGUAUGCUUAACACAUGCAAGUCGAACGGAUUUAUUUAGAGCUUGCUUUAAAUAAAUUAGUGGCAGACGGGUGAGUAACACGUGGGAAUCUGCCCAUCAGUACGGAAUAACAUUUAGAAAUAAUUGCUAAUACCGUAUAUUCUCUUUGGAGGAAAGAUUUAUCGCUGAUGGAUGAGCCCGCGCCAGAUUAGGUAGUUGGUAGGGUAAUGGCCUACCAAGCCAAUGAUCUGUAGCUGGUUUGAGAGAAUGAUCAGCCACACUGGGACUGAGACACGGCCCAGACUCCUACGGGAGGCAGCAGUGGGGAAUAUUGGACAAUGGGCGAAAGCCUGAUCCAGCAAUACCGAGUGGGUGAUGAAGGCCUUAGGGUUGUAAAGCCCUUUUCAGCAGGGAAGAUAAUGACGGUACCUGACCAAGAAAGCCCCGGCUAACUCCGUGCCAGCAGCCGCGGUAAUACGAAUCGAAUUCCCGCGGCCGC
rnacentral:rRNA from 1 species